ensembl:lncRNA
AUGAGUAGCUGGGACCAAAGAGAGGACUCUAGAAACCUGAACCCGCCCCCCUUCAGCUCCCCACUCCCUGGCAAAGGGCUCCAGCUGCUCUGGAUGAUGAGGAAGCCGGGCACCUCUGACAAGCAAGCUGCUGUAGGCACCACCUCAGAACUUCAGGUGUGGGCCACGAUUUUCUGCAUGGCCCCAGCAACUCCUGGAAUCCAUAACCUGACCAGGAACGUCAGAGGUCUUGCAUGCAGGCUGGAGUGCGGUGACACGGUCACAGCUCACUGCAACCUUGACCUACUGGAUUCAAGGGCCUUCCCACCUCAGCUUCUCAAGUAAUUGGGACCACAGGUACAUUCCACCAACCCAUUUAUUUUUAUUUUUAUUUGUGUAAAUGGGGUCUCAUUUUGUCACCCAGGCUGGUUUCAAACUCCUGGCUUCGUGGCAUCUUCUCACCUUGACCUCCCAAGGUGCUGUGAUUGCAGCCAUGAGCCACCAUACCCAGCCCCCUUUCUCUUUAAAAUAUUGGCAUUUGCCAAGAGAUCGAGACCACCCUGGUCAACAUGGUUAAACCCCGUCUCUACUAAAAUACAAAAAUUAUCUGGGCAUGGUGGCGCAUGCCAGUAAUCCCAGCUACUCAGGAAGCUGAGCAGGAGAACUGCCUGAACCCAGGAGGCGGAGGUUGUGGUGAGCCAAAUCACACCAUUGCACUCCAGCCUGGGUAACAAGAGCGAAACUCCGUCUCAAAAAAAAAUGGCAUUUGCAGCCAUGCAUUUUAUUGUGACCACUGGUCUCAUGGCUUCCUACACAUUUGGUAUUUAUCUCAAAGAAUUUUCCAACAUCACUUCUGAUUUCUGCUUUCAUUCGCUGAUUGUUUAGGAGUGUGUUAUUGAUUUUUAUAUAUUCCUGAAUUCAGAUUUGCUUUGUUAUUGAUUUCUACCUUCAUUCUAUUGUAGAGAAGAUACCUUGAUUUUAGUCCUUUUAAAUUAAUGAAAUCUGUUUCAUGGCCUAAGACAUGGUGUAUUCCAGAGAGUAUUCCAGGCGUACUUGAGGAGAUGCUGUAUCCUGUGAGCCUGUUGAAGGUGUUGUCAGGUCUAGCUGAUUCACAGUGUUUUUCAAGUUCUCUACUUCUUUUUUGAUCUUCUGUCUUAUUUCUAGCCAGUAUUGACAGUACAGUAUUGCAAGUAUUACUGGGAAGCCGUCUGUUUCUUCAAUUCCACAGUCACUACUUCAUAGACUGGGGGCUCUGUAGUUAGAUGCACAAGUAUUAAUUGUUAAAUAUAUAAUGUCCUUCUUUCGCUCUUGUAAUAACUUUCAUUGACCUACCCAUCUCUCUUUUCCUUCCUUCUUUGCCUCCUUCCUUCUUUCCUCCCUCCUCCCUCCCUCUCUCCCUCAUUUAAGCUGUUGGCUGGACACAGUGGCUUACAUCUGUAAUUCCGGAAUUGGGGAGGCUAAGGUGGGUGAAGUGCUUGAACCCAGAAGUUUGAGACCAGCCUAGGCGACAUGGCAAAACCGAGUCUCUACAUCUCGACACAAACAAACAAACCUGAAAUUAGCCGGUCAUCUGCAGUCCCAGCUAUGUACUCAGGAAACUAAGGCCAGCGGAUCUGUUGAGUCCUGGAGAUCGAGGCUGCAGUGAGCCACGAUCAUACCACUGCACUCCAGCCUGGGCAACAGAAAGAGACCCUGUCUCAAAAAAUAAUAAAGUACAUAAAUAAAUAAAUAAACUGUUGAUUGGGAGCCGUGUAUGCACCAGGCCCUAAGCGGGGCAUGAUGAGAUGGGAUGAAGAGUCUGGAGACUUGGGAAAGGCUGCACCUCUGGAGGGAGGCCGCAGCUUCUCCUUCAUCAAAGAGGUCC